CUUCUUGCAUUAGUAUUUUGCUACUGUUGUAGUUAGCUCCUAUAUCUGAUGCAUAGCCUAUUUUGAUGAACUGCUACUUUCAGCUCUGUACUUUAAAUCUGCUUAGUAUAGGUCGAGCAGUCAUCCCCUCUGACCCUGUAGUUCAGUUGCCCCGCUUGCUUUCAAUCUCGAUCCCUAAUCAAAGAGCCAGACCCGACACAGCACACACACACACCCUUAGUUGUACGACGCUACAGAGAUACUAUCGGGUACCGAGGGUGACACCUCGCUGAGUACUCCUGAUGAUAUCUCUGUAGUAUAGCUAGUCGGACGUGGUUAUCGAGGGUGAUUCCUCUUUCACCAUUCCCGAUGACGCCUCUCUCGUGCAACCCCUCAAGUGUGGGACCCAUGAUGGUGAUUCCGCUAAGCCCACCUUGACGGAUACAUCGUUCGGAAUCCAACGAGGGUGAUACCUCGGAUUCCCCCCGAUCUUACAACCACACAGUUACUCGACCAUGUUACUAGGAUCAUUGGUGAUUAGUUGUUAAGACGGGUGGAUUCCCGCGAGACUGUGUUGAUGGCCUAAUUAAAAUGUUAAUGGAUUUGGGUAUUUGAUCUGGGUUGGUCGGAGACCUUUUCGCACUAACCGUCUGCGUGGGAAGAAUUAUGGGUACUCGGCGUCGCGGUAUCAGCCGAAGCUUUUCAGAUGUCAGCAACGUAGUGGCGCGCGCCCGAGUGGUCCCGAGAUGCAUUGCCCUUGUGAUUAAGGGAUGCUAGGACUGACGUCGGUCGCCCUCGCAUCGUGCAGGAGCACGGAGGGGGAACUAGGCCCAUGAACCCUUUGCGCUUAGGAUUUAGACCGGCGGGCUGGCCUCUCUGGUUAGUCUUAGGUGGAGCUGCGACGUGUCGAUAUUCCGAGGCCGGGCUGGACCCAGAAAAGUAUGUCUGGCCAGAGUGUUAUCGAGCGUGACGGGACAUGUGGUGCACCCCUGCAGGGAUGAAAAUUAACUAUUCGAAUAGCCGUGUCCACGGUUACAGGACGACUUGGAGUUGUGCCCUGAUCUUAUACAACUACAACUGGUACUUAACUGGAAUUAGUUGGCUCGGGAUUGCUUCCUCGCAGGGAGUCGAGGGAGGAUCUCUAGGCAUGACCUCACUUUAAUAUUGCUGCAACAAUAUGACUA
rnacentral:lncRNA from 1 species